GAAAUGCGAUAAGUAAUGUGAAUUGCAGAAUUCAGUGAAUCAUCGAAUCUUUGAACGCACAUUGCGCCCGCCAGUAUUCUGGCGGGCAUGCCUGUUCGAGCGUCAUUUCAACCAUCAAGCCCCGCGCUUGUGAUGGGGACCUGCGGCUGCCGCAGGCCCUGAAAACCAGUGGCGGGCUCGCUGUCACACCGGGCGUAGUAGAUUUUAUCUCGCUCAGGGCGUGCUGCGGGUUCCGGCCGUUAAAAAGCCUUUUUUACCCAAGGUUGACCUCGGAUCAGGUAGGAAGACCCGCUGAACUUAAGC
rnacentral:misc_RNA from 1 species